UUCUUACGUAUUGUGAUAUGCAUACGCACAGUGUUGUACAUAUGAAUACUUCAUGAAACAAAUGUAUGCAGUUUUUGUUAAAAAGCUUCACUCUCAACCAUUUAUUUGCUCAAAAGGGUUUAAGAGCACACAUGUGUUUACAUAGUUCAGCCAUAAAGGAAGUAUUGAUGUACUCAAAUCUGUAGAAGAGAAAGCUCACUGCUCUCAUUAAGAGUGACAAUGUUGCACAUCUGAUCCUACUACUGUAAUACCUUUGUCAUCAGCUGGUUAUACAGCUGAAUAAGUGCCUGAUCUUUUUUUUACAUGUUGUCGUAUGUGCUAAUAAGUAAGAAUGCUGUUCAAAUCUCAAGUGAUCAAUAACACAUACGCAUCAUCACACUGAUGCUCACUGUCGAAGAUCCCAAACCGCAUGUCGAGCUGCUUGGUUAUCAGUUUUCAUGCAAGUUAUCAACUAGCCAACUGUAAAAUACAGAUAUAUGAAGCAAAUUUGCCUCUCUGCUCUACUUUCCUAUAGACCCUGGGUGUUGAUGCACAUGAUUAAUACCUAUUUAUACUACAAGGGUACAUAAAAUGAAAGAGAAAAUAAAAAGAGGUAAAAGACGAAAGAAAGGCAGGCAGGUUAACCAGGUUGAAUUGACUUGCUGCCCUACAGUCAGAGGGAAGGUGAUCAGAAAAAGAAUUACUCAUGAAGGCACAAGGGAUGUGUACGCACACAUAACCGUGUUCAUCAAUGAUGCAUCUAUGAGGACUCACGUUCAUACUCACACCUACUCACUAACAUUCAUACUCACGCCAACUCACUCUGAUGUGUACUCACUCACGUUCAUACUCAGGUUUGCUCAUGCCCCUCAUCACUCACUCGUAGUCACAGUCAUGCUUUUCAAAUGAGUGUGUGUACUCACAAGUGAGUAGUAUGUCAAGCCGUAGUCGUCAUAUCUACUGUAGGUAAGAGACCUAUAUACACAAAGAUGGUUGCAAGUGAUUCAGUUCGACAGAAGUGAGUUUAGUAUUGAGAAAAAUAUUUGUCUAUAUUCAUGGUUUGGCUACCCAGAAACUUUACAAGGUGGGCUGUAGUAGGAUGUCCUAAAGUAAGUGAAUGACGUUAUUUAGGUGUGGCUAAGCACAGCAUGAAAUUACUCGUUUAACCUUUGUAGCAGCACAUUCGCAGUGGCAACAAAGACACGUUCAUAUUGUCAUAAAAUGCCUUCAUGAACACUGUUCUUCAUUUGUCAUAGGUGUGCGUUAUUGAACUUCUGGUAUUCUUAGUAUUAAACCAACAAAGACUUCAACCAAAGAAGGCCCGGUGACCUGUAGGCUUUUGCUAAUUGAAAAGGUUCACAUUGAACAAGCACUUUGCCUUAAGCAGUAUUAGGCAGUACUUCCUGCAUUAUAUACGUCAUGAGAGCAUACUCAGAGUCACCUUAAUAUGUAACUUGCACGCACUUAACUUCUGCCUAAAGGAUCAUACUAAAUGUAUCUCAGGGAUCCCAAUUUGAGGUAGCAAGUGUACGUGGUUUAGACUAGUAGUGCUACCUGUGUGUCCUGUAUAUGAUGCCAUUUAAACUUCUCUGAGACUGGUUUUGGUGAAAUACAUUUUCUUCCACGAUGUGCCACAUGUGUGCACAGUGUCAUGCGUACGAAAACUUUAUGUAAGAGACAAACGUAUUCAGUUUUUGGUAAAGAGUUUCACUCUCUCCCAUCUAGUGUACAGAGAGUCUUAGUGCACAGAUCUGUUUACAUAGUUCAGCCAUUGGUGUACUUACACCUGUUCAAGAGAAAGCUAUCACCAAAAGUGACAGUCUUGCACUUCUGAUCUUAUUACCGUAAUACAUUUAUCGUCAAGUUAUAUGGCUAAACAACUGCCUCAUUUAUUCACAUGUUGUUGUAUGUGCGAGCAAGUGUGGACAUUGUUCAAAUCACAGGCGAUCAAUAACACCUAUGCAUCGUCAUACAGAAGCUCCCUGUUGAAGAUCCCAAACCACAUGUUGAGGUGCUUGGUUAUUACUUUUCAUGCAAGUUAUCAAGUGGCCAAUUUGAAGUACAGACGAAUGAAGCAAACUUGCCUGUGCUCUACUUUCUAAUAGACAAUGAGUCUUGACACAUAUGUUUAAUACCUCUUUCAACAACAAGGGUAGAUGAAAUGAAGUGGAAAAAAAAGAGAGGCAAAAAGAUGAAAGAAAGGCAGGGAGGUUAACCAGGCUGAACUGAUUUGUUGCCCAACAGUGGAAGGGGGGGGGGGGCGUGGUCAGAAAAAGAGCACAACUGAUGUGCAUGGACACAUAACAGUGUUCAUCAUUGAUGCACGGAUACUCACGUACAGAGCUGGGUUGUUUUGAGAAAUUGCAAUAGCAUUGUUUCAGCCCGCAUUGCAGAUUAUGCUUGCAAUGGUAUCUUAUAUGAUAAAAUUUAAGCGCCUGUUUUAAUAAGUUUGGAGACGCAACAAGGGCUUUAGAAUUUAGAUCAUGGCUGCGUGGACACACAUGUGCAACACAGAGAGUGCAAUAAAGUGAGGAUGCUCGAGGUUCACCUUAAUUAAAGAGUGCAGCACGAUAGCAUAAUCGUGGGGCCCCGAGUGCAUCAUCUUCUCAACUGCUAGCCUGGCUUCAGUUCUCGGUGAAUGCCUCAACCGUGCCGCAAGGAAACGAACUUGUGUGCGCGUAACAUGGGCCAUUUCAAACUAUCCUAGAAUGUCUAUACUGCAAGUACAGUUGCGUAAUACCCACUACGCUGUAGCUCGUCGUUUUGGAAAGGGUGAAUUUUCAAACAAUCAACAUUGUACACUUUCUAUCACUUUAAUUUGUGCCCCUAGUUUUUUGUUUAGCUCGGUCCCUUUUUGCGGUCCUUAUUUUGCAAUAUCGUCAAGUGGAUAAUGCCAAAAAAUAGAAAAAUAACCGGUGUGCAAGCAAACACAGUGCCACACACAUAUUCUAACCUAAUGUUUUUUGUUGUAUUUUUAAGUUUCAGCACCCAACACGCUAACAGGAAUAGCAGUACAUCAAUGUAAAUGAAAAAAAAAGAAAAGAAAAAAAAAGCAUUAACUGACUCUAACCCACGUAAACAAGUUGUGAUCUCUACGCGCGAGCCUGCUACUCCAGCCUGCUACGCCACCCGCACACCCGUCGUGACAGCUUCCUAAUUUAAUAGAUGAAAGUGCUUACGCGCUAUCCGAGAGUGCAUAGUAGGUACAAUAUGAGAUCAUACUUAUUAUUGCGGGCAUAUAUUUUGGGACCGUAUCUACGCCUCACACUUUUCUCGUAUCUUUUCACUAUAGGUUGCCGAUCGCUCGCGUAUGAAAACACGGAUGCUUACACACAAGCAAUGUAAUUUACGCAAGCAGUUGAAGCUUGUUCCCCGAGGCUCUCUUGCGAUUAAUAGUCGGCUAUCGCGCGAAACUGGAGUGAUACGCCGUUAACCCGUGCGUCUAGCUGUGUUCCCCUCCGUGGCUGUCUCGCUCGAUCACGAAUUCAGCGCGGGAAAUGAAGCACACGGCAGUGCCGCGCGUAGCGGCGACAUCAGCUGAUCACGCCGGCUUGCUUCCCUUUGCUUCAACGCAACGAAACAUAUGCUUUGCAAGAUCACAUACUGCAUUACGUAAAAGUGUUACUGCUUUGGAGUCAUCCUGCUAUUCACUGAGGACGUACAUACAACUACUGUAGAGUUUUGCUUCGGCGGCAAGCAUCGAUCGUAAAGCCGCACUACUACGUCCGUGGUACAAGCAGUAGAAACCUGUCGUCUGCUAGAACAAAAAGAAAAAAAAAUCUACUGGAAAAGUAUUUACCUUGUCUCGUAUAAAUUUUUCUUGAAGACAAGUCAUUAUGUUUUAACUAUUUUGCCCAAUAACAUGCAUUCUCUAACAAUUUCACACGGCGACGUUUUCUUUUUCUUUUUCACGAACAACAAUUCAAGCUAGAUCCAUCCAUAGCCGAAGCCAGAUGUUGUUUGCCUUUGUUUGCGAGCGUCUCGUGUGUGUUCUCGUCCACAAGAAGAUUAAAGGUAAAAGCAUUAAAUUUACGUAAGGAAGCUUCGUUCCUCGUUUGUGCGGUGUGCAAAGAUUGCGCGCAAUUCCCGCUGUUCUCGGAGUGCCGAUGAAGUACGAGUCGUUCAAGGAAUCAACGAAAUGUGCGGGCGCUCGAAUGACUCCAUGGCUGACGCCCGUGGCCACCUGCUACACGCCAGUGCGAAAGAAACUAAAGCACUGUGGGGGCUGCAGGGUGGCUUUGCCAGUAGGAAGGGCGGAAAUUCCUGAAGAUGUAUUCAUCCAUGCUGCAUCAGCUGCUUGGUGUUUUCAUGGCAUCUCUGCACAUGUGCUGGGUUGAUCUUAAGCAGAAAACCAGAAGCGGCAGUGGUCUCCAGUAGAGACCCAAGGACCCCAAGCUCUCUGUGACACAAACAGGAAGGGCACUGUGGUGCAUUGAAAACCUGCGCCAGUAGUGCAUUACCAGUGCACUAUGCUGCUGUUUCAUCAAGGAGAAAGGAGGUGACCACCCUCAGAGGAACUUCAUGCUCUACAGUACAGUCCUUACUGCAUUUCGUGGUCUUGGAUCUCGGGAUUCAGUAUGCUUUUGAGUGUCACGUGGAGAAGUGUGGAAGGCGUUCCUCCAUGGAAGAGCGGUGACCGGAGCGUGAGCUGAUACCUGGCAGACAAGCUGGAUGUCAUUGCAACUGGUGGCGUAAGGAGAAGACAACAAGAUGCUUGUGUGGUUGUGCGUGCCGGGACUUGAUUGCGUCUUUUCUCAGACUACACUGUUUUUACUUGUACACAUGUAAAAUAAAUAUUGUUUGCUCAAUUUGAGAUAUCAGAAACUACUGUACAAGUCAGUUUUCACCUUACAGAAAAUAGAUUUUAGUGUCCCCAAAUGGACGGUACGAAAUCCUAAUGGGAUCUGAUGCGGAAACCGAAUAUAUUAAAACUGCGUCCUGCAGUUUCCGCAUGACCACAAUUCCG